rnacentral:rRNA from 1 species
AUACGUAGGUGGCGAGCGUUGUCCGGAUUUACUGGGCGUAAAGGGUGCGUAGGCGGAUGUUUAAGUGAGAUGUGAAAUACCCGGGCUUAACUUGGGUGCUGCAUUUCAAACUGGACAUCUAGAGUGCAGGAGAGGAGAAUGGAAUUCCUAGUGUAGCGGUGAAAUGCGUAGAGAUUAGGAAGAACACCAGUGGCGAAGGCGAUUCUCUGGACUGUAACUGACGCUGAGGCACGAAAGCGUGGGUAGCAAACAGGAUUAGAUACCCUGGUAGUCCACGCCGUAAACGAUGAGUACUAGGUGUAGGAGGUAUCGACCCCUUCUGUGCCGCAGUAAACACAUUAAGUACUCCGCCUGGGAAGUACGAUCGCAAGAUUAAA